CCCAGGGCCUUGCGCUUCCUAGGUACUCAAGAGAAAUGGAUCAGUAUCAUUCUCUGCUAUACAGCAAACCCUGCUGAUAAACCUGAAGUAUAAGACCUCUGUAAACUGCCCUAAAGAAGAUAUGACUUUAAGGAAUGUCCUCCCUGUUAAUGUCAAUGACUCCACGAUAAUCUGGAACAACAAGAACCAGGAUACAAAGAUACCUCUUCUCUCAGAACUUCUGUCCAAGCAGAGGCUGGUAUUUGGCAAAGGUGUGGUGGAAUAUAUUUUAAACAUAAAUGAUUAUAGAAAACUUUUUCAUUGCUGUUGCUUGAAUCGCACUGAGAAGGGGAAUUUUGGAGGGAGGUAACUGGGUUGGAGAAAAGGUGGGAAAGGGACAAGAGGAAUCAAGUGUGGGGAGAACAGAGGGAGAAAGAACUGGCAUUGGUGGCAUUUCUGGAACAAACUAGGAAUCUAGGACAAGGAAAACUUCUAGAAACCUAUGGGAGUGCCCUUGCUAAGACUCGGAGCAAUAGGUGUUAUGGAACCUGAAAUGUCUACCGCUUGUAACCAGGCAAGAUUUCCAGUGGGAAGACGGAGAAACCAAACCACCCAUAAAACCUUUGACUCACAUUUUUCCUAUCUACUAGAAGGGCAGGAAUAAAGGAACAGAAAUUGAGUGAGUGGCCAGUGACUGGCCCAACUUGAGACUGAUACCAGGAGAAAGAUCCCACCCUUGAUACUGUUGAUUAUAUUCUCCUAUACUUGCAGAAAGGAACCUAGCGAGAUUCCCUGGGAGAGGCUUCACCCUACAGCUGAUGGAAACAGAUGCAGACAAACAUGCGGGCAGAGUCACGUGGAAGAGGGGAAGGAAGGA
rnacentral:sRNA from 1 species